GCAGAGGCAGAGGCAAAGACAAAGGCAAAAAGAAUGAGGUGGAACCAGUAAAUGAGAAUGAGGAGUAAGCAGAAAGGACCCCACCACUUCAUUCACUUAAAUCUAAAGCAAGAAUUGGCCACUGGACCAGCUAUCCUUCUCCCUGCUAAUCAAAGACAACAAAUUGCAUCGUGAAACAACCAGAGUUGCCGUGGUGAUGGUGAUCAUCAGUUGCUCAUGAAUGGUUUUUGUUCCGUCUUGUCUGCUGGGUUGAGGAAAGCUUCAAAACAAUAAAAAUUAGCAAGCAUCCAA